CCCGCGCAUCCUACAAUGCAGUCGACGGAAGGCCAGCUUGCUGGGUGCUCGAGUGGCGAACGGGUGAGUAACACGUGGGUGAUCUGCCCCUGACUUUGGGAUAAGCCUGGGAAACUGGGUCUAAUACCGGAUAUGACCUGUUGGUGCAUGCCUUCUGGUGGAAAGCCUUGUGCGGUUGGGGAUGGGCCCGCGGCCUAUCAGCUUGUUGGUGGGGUAAUGGCCUACCAAGGCGACGACGGGUAGCCGACCUGAGAGGGUGAUCGGCCACACUGGGACUGAGACACGGCCCAGACUCCUACGGGAGGCAGCAGUGGGGAAUAUUGCACAAUGGGCGCAAGCCUGAUGCAGCGACGCCGCGUGAGGGAUGACGGCCUUCGGGUUGUAAACCUCUUUCACCAGGGACGAAGCUUUUGUGACGGUACCUGGAGAAGAAGCACCGGCCAACUACGUGCCAGCAGCCGCGGUAAUACGUAGGGUGCGAGCGUUGUCCGGAAUUACUGGGCGUAAAGAGCUCGUAGGCGGUUUGUCGCGUCGUCUGUGAAAUUCUGCAGCUUAACUGCAGGCGUGCAGGCGAUACGGGCAGACUUGAGUACUACAGGGGAGACUGGAAUUCCUGGUGUAGCGGUGAAAUGCGCAGAUAUCAGGAGGAACACCGGUGGCGAAGGCGGGUCUCUGGGUAGUAACUGACGCUGAGGAGCGAAAGCGUGGGUAGCGAACAGGAUUAGAUACCCUGGUAGUCCACGCCGUAAACGGUGGGUACUAGGUGUGGGGCUCAUUUCACGAGUUCCGUGCCGUAGCUAACGCAUUAAGUACCCCGCCUGGGGAGUACGGCCGCAAGGCUAAAACUCAAGGAAUUGACGGGGGCCCCGCA
rnacentral:rRNA from 1 species